rnacentral:sRNA from 1 species
AUCUAGCCCCGAUGGAGCUGAUAUCCUCGCAUCUCGUCUUUUGGGACGAGAGAGGAGAUAAAGGCGAUAGCGGGAACUUUG